GCAAGUCGAGCGGUAACAGGAAUUAGCUUGCUAAUUCGCUGACGAGCGGCGGACGGGUGAGUAAUGCCUGGGAAUAUGCCUUGAUGUGGGGGAUAACUAUUGGAAACGAUAGCUAAUACCACAUAAUGUUUUUGUUUAUUUGAACAAGAACCAAAGAGGGGGAUCUUCGGACCUCUCGCGUCAAGAUUAGCCCAGGUGAGAUUAGCUAGUUGGUGGGGUAAGAGCUCACCAAGGCGACGAUCUCUAGCUGGUCUGAGAGGAUGAUC
rnacentral:rRNA from 1 species